AUGGUGGGGUGCAUUUUCACUCGUUCUGUUUGGCAUGAGAUCCUCACUUGGUGCUGCCCCUCCACCCCGCCGCCCGACGGAUCUUUCGGCUUCUUUGACUGGCUAUCCGCGGCCAUCCUCAGGCUACCUCCGACCACUCGCCGCGGUCUCACUACCUUGGCCGGCCUUGUGGCAUGGACGCUUUGGCGCCACCGCAAUGCGGUUAUCUUCGACAAGAUCGCCCCGUCUACCCCGACCGUGGUCACCACUAUUAAAGACGACGCUCGCACCUGGGCCAUUGCCGGAGCCAAAGGGCUUAGCGCUUUUAUCCCUGUAACCUGA
rnacentral:rRNA from 1 species